rnacentral:rRNA from 1 species
GGGUUGUGAGGUUAAGCGACUAAGCGUACACGGUGGAUGCCCUGGCAGUCAGAGGCGAUGAAGGACGUGCUAAUCUGCGAAAAGCGUCGGUAAGGUGAUAUGAACCGUUAUAACCGGCGAUGUCCGAAUGGGGAAACCCAGUGCAAUUCGUUGCACUAUCGUUAACUGAAUACAUAGGUUAACGAGGCGAACCGGGGGAACUGAAACAUCUAAGUACCCCGAGGAAAAGAAAUCAACCGAGAUUCCCCCAGUAGCGGCGAGCGAACGGGGAGCAGCCCAGAGUCUGAAUCAGCUUGUGUGUUAGUGGAACGGUCUGGAAAGUCCGACGGUACAGGGUGAUAGUCCCGUACACCAAAAUGCACAGGUUGUGAACUCGAAGAGUAGGGCGGGACACGUGGUAUCCUGUCUGAAUAUGGGGGGGCCAUCCUCCAAGGCUAAAUACUCCUGACUGACCGAUAGUGAACCAGUACCG